UACCUUUUUAAGAUAAUUAGAUUCCUAAUAUAUGUCAGGAUAGUAUCUAUAUAAAAGGAGGUCUUUAGGGUUUCCUGUUAAUAGAAUUUUUGAUCAACAAAAAUUCUUCUCUCCCUUUUCUAUGCUUCCUAUCCUCCCUCUCUUCAUUUCCACACCCAAAAGUUGGGUGCCCCCUCUUUCACACACCAAGAAGCAGUGUUAGUGACUUAGAAAUUGAAG
rnacentral:lncRNA from 1 species